AUGGUUAAGUUAGAAAGGGCGCACGGUGAAUGCCUUGGCACUAGGAGCCGAUGAAGGACGGGACUAACACCGAUAUGCUUCGGGGAGCUGUAAGUGAGCUUUGAUCCGGAGAUUUCCGAAUGGGGAAACCCACUGUUCGUAAUGGAACAGUAUCUUUAUCUGAAUACAUAGGAUAUUGAAGGCAGACCCGGGGAACUGAAACAUCUAAGUACCCGGAGGAAGAGAAAGCAAAUGCGAUUUCCUGAGUAGCGGCGAGCGAAACGGAAUUAGCCCAAACCAAGAGGCUUGCCUCUUGGGGUUGUAGGACACUCUAUACGGAGUUACAAAGGAACGAAGUAAAUGAAGCGACCUGGAAAGGUCCGUCGAAGAAGGUAACAACCCUGUAGUUGAAACUUCGUUCCCUCUUGAGUGGAUCCUGAGUACGGCGGAACACGUGAAAUUCCGUCGGAAGCUGGGAGGACCAUCUCCCAAGGCUAAAUACUACCUAGUGACCGAUAGUGAACCAGUACCGUGAGGGAAAGGUGAAAAGCACCCCGGAAGGGGAGUGAAAGAGAUCCUGAAACCGUGUGCCUACAAGUAGUCAGAGCCCGUUAACGGGUGAUGGCGUGCCUUUUGUAGAAUGAACCGGCGAGUUACGAUCCCAUGCAAGGUUAAGCUGAUAAGGCGGAGCCGUAGCGAAAGCGAGUCUGAAUAGGGCGUUUAGUAUGUGGUUGUAGACCCGAAACCAGGUGAUCUACCCAUGUCCAGGGUGAAGUUCAGGUAACACUGAAUGGAGGCCCGAACCCACGCACGUUGAAAAGUGCGGGGAUGAGGUGUGGGUAGCGGAGAAAUUCCAAUCGAACCUGGAGAUAGCUGGUUCUCUCCGAAAUAGCUUUAGGGCUAGCCUCAUGUUGUGAGAGUCUUGGAGGUAGAGCACUGAUUGGACUAGGGGCCCCCAACGGGUUACCGAAUUCAGUCAAACUCCGAAUGCCAAAGACUUAUCCAUGGGAGUCAGACUGCGAGUGAUAAGAUCCGUAGUCAAAAGGGAAACAGCCCAGACCACCAGCUAAGGUCCCCAAGUAUACGUUAAGUGGAAAAGGAUGUGGAGUUGCUUAGACAACCAGGAUGUUGGCUUAGAAGCAGCCACCAUUUAAAGAGUGCGUAAUAGCUCACUGGUCGAGUGACUCUGCGCCGAAAAUGUACCGGGGCUAAACGUAUCACCGAAGCUGUGGAUUGACAUCUUAGAUGUCAGUGGUAGGAGAGCGUUCUAAGUGCUGUGAAGUCAGACUGUAAGGACUGGUGGAGCGCUUAGAAGUGAGAAUGCCGGUAUGAGUAGCGAAAGACAAGUGAGAAUCUUGUCCACCGAAUGCCUAAGGUUUCCUGAGGAAGGCUCGUCCGCUCAGGGUUAGUCGGGACCUAAGCCGAGGCUGAAAAGCGUAGGCGAUGGCCAACAGGUUGAUAUUCCUGUACCACCUCCCCGCCGUUUGAGUAAUGGGGGGACGCAGUAGGAUAGGGUAAGCGCGCUGCUGGAUAUGCGCGUUCAAGCAGUUAGGCUGAUGAGUAGGCAAAUCCGCUCAUCAUAAAGGCUGAGCUGUGAUGACGAGGGAAUUAUAGUACCGAAGUUCCUGAUUCCACACUGCCAAGAAAAGCCUCUAGCGAGGCGGGAGGUGCCCGUACCGCAAACCGACACAGGUAGGCGAGGAGAGAAUCCUAAGGUGAUCGAGAGAACUCUCGUUAAGGAACUCGGCAAAAUGACCCCGUAACUUCGGGAGAAGGGGUGCUCUGGUAGGGUGUAUAGCCCGAGAGAGCCGCAGUGAAUAGGCCCAGGCGACUGUUUAGCAAAAACACAGGUCUCUGCGAAGCCGCAAGGCGAAGUAUAGGGGCUGACGCCUGCCCGGUGCUGGAAGGUUAAGAGGAGGGGUUAUCCUUUGGGAGAAGCUCUGAAUCGAAGCCCCAGUAAACGGCGGCCGUAACUAUAACGGUCCUAAGGUAGCGAAAUUCCUUGUCGGGUAAGUUCCGACCCGCACGAAAGGCGUAACGAUCUGGGCACUGUCUCAACGAGAGACUCGGUGAAAUUAUAGUACCUGUGAAGAUGCAGGUUACCCGCGACAGGACGGAAAGACCCCGUGGAGCUUUACUGUAGCCUGAUAUUGAAUUUUGGUACAGCUUGUACAGGAUAGGUAGGAGCCUGAGAAGCCGGAGCGCUAGCUUCGGUGGAGGCGUCGGUGGGAUACUACCCUGGCUGUAUUGAAAUUCUAACCCGCGGCCCUGAUCGGGCCGGGAGACAGUGUCAGGUGGGCAGUUUGACUGGGGCGGUCGCCUCCUAAAAUGUAACGGAGGCGCCCAAAGGUUCCCUCAGAAUGGUUGGAAAUCAUUCGUAGAGUGUAAAGGCACAAGGGAGCUUGACUGCGAGACCUACAAGUCGAGCAGGGACGAAAGUCGGGCUUAGUGAUCCGGUGGUUCCGCAUGGAAGGGCCAUCGCUCAACGGAUAAAAGCUACCCCGGGGAUAACAGGCUUAUCUCCCCCAAGAGUCCACAUCGACGGGGAGGUUUGGCACCUCGAUGUCGGCUCAUCGCAUCCUGGGGCUGUAGUCGGUCCCAAGGGUUGGGCUGUUCGCCCAUUAAAGCGGUACGCGAGCUGGGUUCAGAACGUCGUGAGACAGUUCGGUCCCUAUCCGUCGUGGGCGUAGGAAAUUUGAGAGGAGCUGUCCUUAGUACGAGAGGACCGGGAUGGACACACCGCUGGUGUACCAGUUGUCUUGCCAAAGGCAUCGCUGGGUAGCUAUGUGUGGACGGGAUAAGUGCUGAAAGCAUCUAAGCAUGAAGCCCCCCUCAAGAUGAGAUUUCCCAUAGCGCAAGCUAGUAAGAUCCCUGAAAGAUGAUCAGGUUGAUAGGUCAGAGGUGGAAGCGUGGCGACAUGUGUAGCUGACUGAUACUAAUCGAUCGAGGACUUAACCAAA
rnacentral:rRNA from 1 species